UCUCUCUCUCUCUCUCUUAACUAAAUAACCGUGUUUAUAUUAUAGACUCGAUCCCUUUUAAACUAAAUGAUAUAAAAUUAAGACAAAUUGAGAAUUCAUAAUUUUUUAUUCUGAUAUUAUUUGAAAUAAUAUAAAAUAAUUAUUUUUUUAAAAAAGGAUAAAGAUAUAAAAAAAAAAUGUUAACAUAUAAUAUUCAACACACACACACUCUCUCUCUCUCUCUAUAUAUAUAUAUAUAGAUGGUAGAGCCCCGGCCCCACCAUGUGUGUGGCACGUGCUGCCUCAGCCAUACUCACGUGCCCCCAUGCAGAGCCACAUGUACGUAGAUCAGUCCCAUGCAUGCAUCACUUUAAAUCCCUUCGCCCCCAAAAAAGAAAAAAACAACAAAAAAACUACUCUUUAAUUCCCUAGACAUGAUGAUUACGUCAUUGAAAGCAAACCUCGGAGUUCUCGCCCUUUCUUCUGUCCAUCACGCAAACCUAUGUACGCAUAAUAAUAAUGUUCUUGUAUACUAAACAAAUUUUUAUAACAACCUAUAUAAAAAAACUGACCGUGUCUAAAACAAGUGUUAAAAAAUUUAGUGAUUGUUAUUCGAGAUCCAAAUUUGAUUUAUAUUUCCAGCUAAAUUUAUUUCUAAAUGAAAUAAACGAAACGGUAGCGUGCUACCUAUCUCUCAAAAAAAUAAUCUAUAUAAAAAAAAUAAUUUUACUGAUUAUAUUUUAUUUAUUUUCCUUUUGAAUUGCGGCAACCACUUGAGAUUGAUAUCUUUUCGUUAAUUAAAUACAACCACAUAGGCAAUUUUAUAAAGCAUUAUAAAAUUUAUUUAUAAGCAUAAUAUUACUAUAUAUAUGUAUAUAUUAUUUGUAAGCUAUAAAACAUUAAAAUUAUUAUUUUCUAAUAGCUCAAGUUUUUAAAGAUAAUCAUUAAUUUGUUUAGUAUGACAUCAGAUAAUGCAUAGUUUAAGUAUAUGUUAAUUAGUACAGACAAUGAUAUUAAUUUUUCAAUACUAAUAAAAGCAAAUACUGAAUUAAAAUAUUCUUAAAACUUUAGAACAAUUUCAAGGAUCAAAAUAAAGCUUGGUUAGAAGUUGGGGCACCAAUCUAUUAAUGGUGAAAUUUAUAUCCUACAAAUAUUUUAACACUACCACUCCAAACCCCCUCACUGUAGAUUCCCUGCUCCUAGAAAUUCUACUUCAGCUGAAGCCCACAUGGUGGGCUUCAUGGGGAAGUGGGAAAUAGAUCAGCUUGUUUUAGGAGUGCUUCUCAUUUUUUGAGUGCUUCAAAAUGUUUCCUACUUUGUGGUGGUUUUGUGUACCUUUUGCAUAUCUAAUCUCUGUGCCCUCCUCUGAAAUGCACAUAUAUGAACUUGGUGUCUGUGGAACAGUGGUGAGCUGUGUUCCCUUCUCCUUGUUCUUAUAUUUGCAGAUUUUUGUGGGGGUGAAAAAGCUGAAAAAGUCAAUAUUUUUUUUUAAAAAAAAAUAAGCUUGUGGGGUCUUGGUAUUUGCAUGCAUGCAUGCAUGCAUGAUGGUGAAUGCAUUGUGACCACCUCCUUUUGGUUUUUUAAUCUCUGAGAUGCCUUAAUUGGAAAUUUGCUACAACUGUUAUUAUUAGAGAGAGAAGAGAUUUUUUAAAAUAAAAAGAAAAAAGAAAAAAAUAGAGGAUUGAACAUAACCUUUAACUAGUUUAUUAUUAUUUUUUUAAAUUUUUUUUUUGAGAGAUAUGUAGCACGCUAUCCGUUUCGUUUAUUUCAUUUAGAAAUAAAUUUAGCUAGAAAUGUGAAUCAACUAGGAUUCGAACUUAAGCCUCAGGUACCAACCACCAAGCUCUUUGCCAUUUGCUCUAGGGACGAUCGGUUAACUAGGUUAAUUAGUUGAGGUAAACUAAUUUAUUGUACUUACAAAAUUGAUAUCUGAUCAUCUGAUAUAUAGUCAUAUCAAAAUAGAUACAAAGAGGCAUAUGAAAUUAAUUAAUAAAUGGGGCAAGAAUUGGAAUUUGAUCGUGCUAUAUUUUUAAAACGGAGAAAUGGUCAUAUUACGUAAAAGAUUGGUUUGAUAGGAAACAAUUGAGUGAUAUACUCAACACUCGGUAUGUACUACGUACUUUGAAGAGUCGAAAAGAGAAAAAACUUCAACUACAACGUGAAGUAUGUGCAUUUUGAUGCGACUAGCAUUUGAAAGAUUUAUUCGAACUCAGACCUCGUAUUCUGCUUCUACGUAAAAUAAAUAUAUAUAUUUUUCCCAGAAACUUAAAUUAAUUACUAUAAGAAAUAGUAUAUUAAAGAAGUGCUAGCUCAUCCAAUGUAGAUAUACAAUGAUUUAAGAAUAUGUUAUUUGAUAAUUAAAUAAACUCAUCUAGAUUUUGAGGAAUUUCAACAGAAUCGAGUGUGAUCUCAUAUAUCUGUCACCCUUAUCCAUUGCAACAUCUUUAAUUAUUUUCUUGGACAAUGUCUCAACUUUGACUCGUAUAAAUCUUAAUCUAUUUAUCCAAGCUAAUAACUUAAUUAUAUAUAUAUGAAAAUUUAUACAUGCCCACUCAACACUCCGAAUGAUUCUUCAAUGUGCAAAUUAAAUACACCAAAUAAUAGAAUCAAUCAAAAUUUAAUUGAUUUUUUCAAGUUAGAAAAAAAUGAAGUAAUUAAUUAAUCUUUUCGGGUAUAAUGAGAAUCAAUUCCACAAUAUUCAUAGCAUAUUAUUAUAUACGUUUGAGAAGAGAUCAAGUUGAGUGAGUGCUCAUCCAAUGUCAAAUGAUAGAUAAAAACACAUAAGUUAUUAAUUUUCAGAAUAAAUAAAUGAAGUAAUUAAACCAGUAAAUGUGUGCAAUGGAUCCUAUCCAAGCACUAAGCUUCACCAUAAAUCUACUAAAAGUAUAUGUAUGCUUAAUAUUAUAUUAUUUUUGUAGAUUUGAGCUUUGCUCAUUAUGUAACCAAUUGACCCUUCUUCCUGAGGCAAGUCCCCAAAAACAAAGUUGAAAAAAAAAAAGAAGUAAUCGAGUAUUAAUAAAACCAGCAAGUGGAGUUAGUUGGUAGUGGACCUGCAUUUUUCAUUAAAGUUACAUCUUAGGUCUUAAUCAGAUAAAGUUAGUGGUAAUAAUAUAUAAUUAUAUAUUCUAGUGAUAAUAAUGUUAUUAUAUAUAUAUAUAUAUAUAUAUAUAUAUAUUCUUAGGAGGAAAGUAAUUAAAUUAGCUUACAAUUAAUGAAUGAAAGACACCCUCAACUACACCACUUUUCCAAAUAGUUAGCAAAAUACAUACUUAAUUUCUUUACUAUAUCCACAACAAUUAAUUUGAACAUAAUCAAUACUAAAGUUAAUAAAGUCUCUAGCUUAAUGAAUAAAAAUAACUUAAAUAAAAAAAAUCAGAAACUAAAGAGAUCUCAAUCAAAAGAAAAUUAGUUACAUAAACUAUCACAUGUGUUGAUGUUAAUACAUUGCAAGGCCCUUGUAACUCUAAGAAUGUUACCAAAAAGAUAGUUUAUUAUAUCCAAAAAGCUAAAAAAAACCUUAAAUGGUGGACUAUAUUCCCCAUUAACCAAUUAUUUAAUUACCAAACAUUGGCCUUAAGCAAUUGUACUUACAGUGAGUUAAAUUAUAUUUUUAAUAAGAAGCAUGAACUACCAACACCUCUUUUUUUCUAUACCCUAAACUAUGAAUAUACUCUGACAAUUUAAUGGAACUCAAACUUUAUAAGUUCCAUAUAUAUAUAUAUAUAUAUAGAAUUAGGCUGGAAUACUAUUAAUAGUAAAACGUUCUUUUUGCUAUCAAGUUUUUAACCCUUGGAUGAAAAAUUAUAGGAUCGGAAUGAUAUUAGUCGGUUAGAGUUGAGUGGUCCCCCUAGGGUUGAGUGGUCCCCACUGGGUUAUAGUAUUUAAUCCAAUGGUUAGAAAUAAUGAAAAGAGUUGAUCCAAAGGCUAAAAAACUGGUAGCAACAAUGGAAUUUUGCUACUAAUAGUAGUCCAGUCCAACUCUNNNNNNNNNNNCUUCUGGAAGCACGGAGCCUUCCGUGCUUCCAGGUCGUUUUUGAUGUUGCGACUUUCGAAUCGUCGAUCGGCUCUGUUAAACUUGAUCUAAAGUAUUUGAAUUACUUAGAAAAUAAAUUUUGCAAUUUUUCGAUAUCAUUUGCCUAGUGAACUAGAGGGCUCAAAAUCAACGGCUGAAAAAUAAAAAUCUAACAAAACGAUAUGACAUUAAAAUUUUAGAUCAAAGAUAUUGAUCUUGUUUUAUAUAGUAUAAAGAAUUUUCUAUCAAAAUUUCACGUGAUUUGGAUAUUUCUACACCGUUAAACUUGCAAAUGGCUCACCGCGGCCAUUAAAAUUAUUGAUUUUGAGUCCCUUCGAUCACUAAGCAAAUGAUAUCGAAAAAUUGCAAAAUUUAUUUUCUAGAUACUUCAAAUACUCUAGAUCAAGUUUAAUGGAGCCGAUCGACGAUUCGAAAGUCGCAACAUCGAAAAUGACCUGGAAGCACGGAAGGCUCCGUGCUUCCAGAAGCAUAGUAACCUCACUCUCUCUAUGUGUAUAUAUAUAUAUAUAUAAAAUUGAGCUAGAAUACUUUUAGAAGCACCACUUCCUUAGUGAUUCUAAGUUUUUAGCCAUUGGAUCUACUCCUUGAUUAUUAAUAGCCUUUGGAUCAAACACUAUUCCACCUAUCACUCUAUAUAUAUAUAUAUGUGUGUGUGUGUGCGCGCGCGCGCGCGCGCGCGCGUGUGUGCUUUUGAGUUUUUAGCCUUUGGAUGAAGAGAUGUAGGGUUGAGAUUAUGAUAAUAGGUGGUGGUAAGUGGAAUAGUGUUUGAUCCAAGAAGUAUUAAUAAUUAAAGAGUAGAUCCAAAGACUAGAAACUUAGAAGCACCAAGGAUUGGUAUUUCUAAAAUUAUUACUCAAUUAUAUAUAUAUAUAUAUUAAAAAAAACUCCUCCCAAUAAAGAAGUGAUGCUUUUGUACUAACAAAGCAGGGAUUAUGUCAUCCCUGGCACCAUCAUACAUCACACUCCACAUGCUUAAUUUAUUAAUACUUACCAAUUUAUUUAGCUUAAAAUAGAGUAGGAUGCCUCACAAUGGAGAAAUCAGAAAAGUCCUUUUCAUUUCCUUGGCCAUUGAGCAAUGUCAUGUGGGAAUCUUAAUGGGGAGCUUUUUAGUUUCUGGUAAAAGUUGCAGGAGUGGGCUACAAGCAUCACAGUGACUAUUUUCUAUUGGGCCUGACACCUUCACAUGGGCUUUUGUAUGAAACCCAUUUAUUUAAAAUUCUUUUUUUCUCUUCUUAAUUAUUAUAGCUUACAGUGUCUGUUUGGCUUCACCGUAGCGCGUCGUUCUAUUUGUGGAUAUAUAUUUUGUAAGUACUGUUAGGAGAAUUACUAUAUUCGUUAAAAUUCGUCCAAAGAAAAAAAUUUUAUUUUUAGGUUCAUGUUUUUAUUCUGGCUCUUCGUCAUCAAAGGAGAUGCUUCAAACUUAUUUACCGUUGGUUAGGGACAUGAAGCUCUUUUUUUUGAGACCGGUGAUUGACGCACAAAUAAUGCUUUUGCAAAAAGUAUAUGCCUGCUCAAACAAAAAAAUUAAAGAAGAUGUUUUGAAAGAGAUAAGCUAAAAGGUAAAACCGAACUCGCUCCUGCAAUGCUCUUAACAUAGAAUUAGGAUGCAAUCAAUGCAAAUUUAGUUUCAAUUUGAACAAAAUGGAAAGUUGUUCAUGUCAAAAAAAAAAAAAAAAAAAAAAAAAAAAAAAGUCUCAGCAAUCACGACAACACGUCAUCGUCAGGUUUUUAGUUGCGGAGCAAAUGAUUUCGAUCUACGGCGUAUGUGGUCCAUCACUGCUACCCCUCGGAUCACGGAAAAUAUGCCUCCAGAUUCGCAUUCAUUGGCUCCGUAUAGAUGUACCACAGGUGCUGUGAGAUACUUGCCUGCACCUGGUGUAUCCAUAUGCAUCAUACACCGCAUUUCAUUUUUAAUAAUUAAUGUUUCAAAAUUAAAGACCCAACAUGAAAAAUCCUACUAUUUAAAACAGGGUAAAUUAAAGCUCUUCCUCCUCAUAUUAUAAUAUGUGUGAUAUUUUGAUUCUCAAAUUUUAAUUCGAAUAUUUUAUAUUUAUUGUAAUUAGAUUUUACAGUAUAACUUAGUUUGACUAAAUAAUGAUACGACACUGAUAAGACAGAAAUGCGAUAAUAUUAUAGUUGAUGAUGUGGUAAUAACUAAAAAUUAUAGUACUGCCACAUUAGCAUCCAUACAACUAAUUUGGAUGAUAGAACUUAAUUAUAACAAUCUAACAAAUUCAAGCUAAAAAUUAUAACAAAUUUAUGUUCGAAGAUCAAAUGCUAUUUGUAUUAUAGUUUGAGAAUAAAAAAUAUAAUUUUGCUUAUUUAGAUAUAUAUUCUAUUUAAAAAUAUUAUUGUUAAAUUAUCAACUAAUCAAAAAAUAAACAGCAAGUAAAUGGCACCAUUUCUAUGAAUAGUAAAAUAUUAUUACAAUUUUAUAGUAAUCGCAUAUAAUUUCUUGUACUUAAAUUUUGAGGCCUCUACUUUGAAAUCAUUAGUGGGGUUGGUUUACGAAAUAUACUUAUACGCUCGGUGCAGGGAAUAGCGUCACUGUCGGUCAUCGUCCCAUUUCGUGGUCCAAAAUCCAAAUCCAGCUUUUUUUUUUUUUUUUUUUUUUUUUGCUCCUUUUACGCGUCUUUCUAUUCCCUUUCCGCGACGAUUUUUGCCACUUCGGUGCAUGCAAAAUCACGGCGGGGCCCACAAUGACAGCUGGCGAGUGCUCGCUUUGGCGGGAAAGAUGACGUGGACUUCGGGGGUUGCCGUGGUGGCAUAAUUAUGGGCUCUGACGUACUCACAAAAUUUCUAUGAGGUCGUGUGGGUAAUCGACCGUUGGAUUAUCUCGUAUGGACGGUCAGAUAUUUUUAGCCGUUGGAUUUAUUGGGUGUAGGAAAUAGUACGGAAAAUGACGUUUUUGCCCUUGUUGCUGAGUGUGUCCCAGCUUUAUGACCGUUACACUGUGGACCAAUUGGGCCCAAAUAGCAUACCAUACUAAAAAUAAUAAUAAUAAUAAUAAUAAAAUUGAAAUAUGUUUAACACCUAAAUAAAAUAUUAAAUGGUGGAAAUAAAAAUUUAUUGCUCGAUGUCUCUUGGUUGCGAGAAGGCUCAGGAGUAGCUCCAGUAAAUUUAAAUAAUACGCAUAAAUUCUUUUUCUGAUUCAGGAUUCGCCCAGAAAACUAUUAUUUAUGGAUGCGCCCGAUCCGUUCGCAUUUUGUUGUUACUAUAAUUAGACUAUAUGAAAUGAAAAAAAUACAAUAAAUUAAAUCAUUUUUUUUCCCUACCAGGAUGAAAGGAUAAAAGAAUAGCAAUGCCAACACAAAAUUGAUUUGCUACACAGCAAUAGAAUCAACAAUGCAAUGAUUGAUUGUGAAACAGCAGUGGUAACGCCUCGGCAUAUUUAAUUAUUAAAUUUAUGUUUCUAGCCUCAUUACCUAGCGAAUUGGUCUUUCAGAUAGUAUGAUAUUAGAACUAAUUAUUUAAACAUCUUAUUAUUAUGUGAAGCAAUGCGUUCGAUUUCUACUUUCAACAUUUAUAUAUUUUUUUGGCUUGUUUCCUAUCCGAUUGACUAUUUGGGUGAUAUUUUUAAGCGGAUUUAGAUCUAUUAUUUGUUGCGUAAGCGAAAGAUCUUUUAGAAGUGGAAAAACCAUGGGGAAGUUCUUAUGUACAGCAACUGAGCUUCUUUGAAAAGCACUGCUAACCAAGGAUCACUUUUAGAAGUAGAAGCACUUCUUGCAACUUAUCUUCACUGCUUUCCUCAGCUUUCUAAUGAGCAGGAGCCUUGUUUUGCACUUUGCUUUUGAAACCAGCAAGACUAUUUUUAAAUUUUAAUUUACAAUAUAUAAUAAUGACUUCAAUUUUUUCACUUUCAGAGGCCGUUUGGUUGCAUGUAGUUGCAAGUUGCAACUGCACUGCAGUUGUAACUGCAUGCAAAUGCAAAUUCAGUGUUUGGUUUGAUGUAUUUAACUCCAACUGCCGCAGUAGGAACUGCAGGAGAAGGCCCAACUGCUGCAGUUCGAACUACACCCAAAUUAGCCGCAGUUCCAACUGCAGCAGUUAGAGAGAGUAAUUUUAAAUAAAAGGCAUGCUUACCUGCUUAAUUAUUUUUUAAACAAAAAUUAUUCUUUUUUAUAUUGGAGAUAAUCUCACCAUCAUAUAUAUAAAAUAAUAAAAUUUUAAAAAUUAUUUCUCAACUGCAUAAAACCAAACAAAUUAUUUAUACUUGCAGCGCUUUCUACUACAUCCAACCAAACAGGAUGCGUGUAGUUAUAACUGCUGCAUUUUCAACUGCAUGCAUCUUUAACUGUACUGUAUUUAUAAUUACAUCUAACCAAACGACCCCUUAAAGUGUUUGAAUGCUGCUUGUUCGAGCAAAAGUACUUUUAGAACAGAAGUCAAGCUAAGCAUGUUAGAAUUUUUAUAAAUGUGACCAAAUUAAUCGUAUUCAAAUCUGGAUUUACUAUAAAUAAAGUUCAAUCUUAAUAGAUGUAAAACUACUUAAUAUGAUAUAUUUUAUUUCUUUUUCAUCUUUUAAAUUAAAUACUAUUUUGAUUACACUUUAAUGGAAUGUCGAUGUGAACUCUCUAUAAAGAGAUACUGAUCAUGUCACCUUUUUAUGUGCAUUCAGAUAAAAAAUUACAAUAUGUUUCACACCAUGUGGGAGAAGGAGAGUGGCUGAGACGGGAAAAAAAAUCAAAAUAUCCAAGUUCGAUUUGUGACGUUCAUAUUAUAACCGGACUUUUCGUUUUCGCAGAUUAAUCAGAAAUUUCUUCUCUACGGCGCUAUGUGACUGUGAGUUAUAUUUAUUUGAUUAUGAUCCCAAAUAUUAAUUAGUAUAUAUUUAGUUUUAUUGUAUUUAUAUGCCAAUGUAGAUCUAUCAAAGCAUGUGCUAAAUAUCUCUAAAUUUUGCCAUUACCUAUUUUCUCACAAUUCUAGCAUCACUAGUCGUUAGAAAGGGAGCCCCCUAAAUAUAGUUUUUAUGAUUUUACUUGCGUAUAAAGGCUUCGUGAUCUUUGGAAAAAUAAAAGUCAAUUUUGAAACAAAACCAAAGCGCUAAUCAAAGUACGAAUAUACAAUGAACAAUAUAUUAAAAUAAUAUCUCAAAAGUUUCAAAAAUAAGCCGUACUUAAUUACCAACCUAUCUUAUUCAUUCUUUCUUGCGAAUUAUGGAAGUUUUUGUCACUCAUAUUAUAAAAAAACUCUACCCUUCAUAGCUAAAUAAAGGCAAUUCGAAUAUAAUAUAUAUUUCACUAUGAACUACUUAAUUAUUUCCUCAUCUUUUUAUUGUACGCUCCCACAACUUUGCUAGCUAAUGCUUUAUCAUUUCAUAGUGUGAAUAGCUUUAGAAUAAGAAUCUUCUCAAAAAGAAAAAUAGAAAAAGAAAAAGAAAAGGUAGAGUGGUCCAUGCCCUACACAAAAUAAAAAAUUACUGCACCAUAACAAACCCCACUAUCUCUCACAAUAUUAGAUUUUGUCAAUAUUUUUAUAUUUGCACNAUUUGAAGUUUCAACUACUAGAACCAUCACCAUGCCCUACACAAAAUAAAAAAUUACUGCACCAUAACAAACCCCACUAUCUCUCACAAUAUUAGUAAUUUAGUCUAAUUUUAUAUUUGCACAAUGUCCAUAGUUUCAUCAUGCAUGGUGAUGGUUCUAGUAGUUGAAACUUCAAAUAAUGAAAUUUACCAAUGAUGUAACACUAGAACAUGUUGUGUUUAGAAAUGAAAUGAUUUCAUACCCAGCACUUUAAUAAAAUUAGACUAAAUUAUAGAAAAUUUUUUUGUCAAUACCUGCUAUUUUAUUUUCCCCCCCUAUCAUUUAAAAAUAUAUCUUAUUCUUUUGAAAAUAAAAAAUGUUCACUUUGACCCCCGCCGUAAGUAUUUCAUUAGGGUUUCGUUUAUAUUCUAUUAUUAUAUAUUUUUUAUAUCCAAAAUACUCAGCUUCCUCCCCUCAACAUUGCCGCCUCCCUCUUCACCGCCCAUGCGGCCUCGCCCUAUUCCGCCGCCUCACCCUACUCUGCCACCUUGCCCUCCUCCACCACCUCUCGCUCGCGCACUCCUCUAUCCCCGCCCACACACACGCUCUCGCGCUUCUUUACCGUCUCGCCCUCGCUCACUUAUUCGUCAAUGCCCACCCCGAUCUCCUCCUAUUGUCGCCAAAAUAGAGGGGCAAUGAGGGUGCAGGAGGAACGGGGGAGUAGGUGGAGGAAAUGGAGUCGAAGUUGCGGUUGAGUGAGGCGCGAAGAACAAAAUAGGAGCGAUGACGACCGAACAAGAUCGGGGAUGAAGGUGGCGAGGAAUAAUUUGGUCAUUUCACUAUCAUAGUUAAUAUCGUGCUUCCCUGUAAAUAUUUUUCAUUUUUCAAGUAAGUAAAGUGUAGUUGUUUAAAUGACAAAAGAAAGUUAAAAAGCGGAUAUUGACACGAGAAUAUUUUUAAUGUAGUCUAAAAUUUAAGAGAAAAAAGUUUUAGGUGCCUCUAAUGUUUCCGCAACUUUUAAUUUCUUUUUUAUGGUGUUAGUAAGCGAGACUCUGAUAUGUCAAUUAGCACAAAAUUAUACUUAUAAUUUUAUUUCAUAUAACUUUCGAGCUUAAGAGAAGAUAUAAUAAGGGUUAAGAGCUUGACCACUAAUUCCAUCACACGAUGGCUUUGCGUGUUCCAAAAAAAAAGAAAAAAAUUAAUGUACUAAAAAAUCACAAAAGUAUCUUUUAGUUUAUUCUUGUUGGUGAUAUUGGAUUGGAGGACGAAAAGAAAACGCCAAAUUGCAUUAAUAAUUUGUCUAUUUCUAUUGUCACAACUUAUAUAUUCCUAACAUAUAUUCGCUAAUUUGACGGAGAAAUUGAAGAAAAAUACGUGAUUUACGUAUCACGGUUGUGAUACUGACAAAUUAAUUAUAAUUUUAAGUUAAUUCGAAAUGUAUUAACUUAGUUUACAUGGGAUCUCAGGUUCAAACCCAGAACUUUAUGCUUCUAUAUAUAAUCUUUAAAUAAUAUUAAUAAUAAUAUAAAUAACAAAGAGAAAAUAAAAACAAAACAAAAUAUGACUUUUCAUGCAUUUAAGAACACAGUGGGGAUUGAGAGGGAUAUAGCAAGGUGUAGCUCCUUUUAAUAAUUAAGGGCACUAUGUACUAAUGGAGACAAAGGUUCGAUUGAGACAAGUAAACAACCUUAUGAUUAUAAUAUGUUUUUUGUUUUUUGAUUGGGUCAAUGUUGAUGCUCAAUUAGAGGAUUUGUUGCCCAAAAUAAUAUGCUCUUAUGUGAUUAUGUGACAUCAAUGAUAAUAAUAGUUUUUUUUUUCGGUACAUAAGAAUAAGAAUGGAUGGUUGACAUCAAUUAAUUUCAUCUUAAAUUAAAGGGGCACAGCUCAAAAUUUUGGCACUUCAAGAUGCAUGUAUGUUAUUAUCUAAAAAAAACUUUUUAUUUGGGACUUCAAACACUCAAAUCUAAAUUUGUUUUAAAAAUUAUUAUAUUUGCUUGCUAAGUGGUCUUAAGAUAUAUAUGAACAUUCUUAUAUUAAUUCCAUACAACUUUCUGUGAUCAUAGCGAAUUACAAAUAUAUUUCUAUAAAAUUCAACUUUCUUAUAUUAUUUUUUACGAAAAUCCUAAUAUUUUCAAAUAUAUCCCUAUCGUUAGGAUCUGUUAGAAAAUUUUAGUUAAUCAUAGUAAAAUACUCUCUGGUUAGUCAAUGAGAUAAAUUGACAUUUUUACUAUUUUUAUAUUGUACCUUCUUCUCUCAAUCAACACUCUAGCAACAUGCGUCUUGCUUCGCCUAUGUUGAAUGCAUGUUGCUUCCCUAUUAAAUUUUAUUUAUAAUUUUUUUCUUACUUUGCUUAAAAUAAAAGGUUUAGAAGAAAAGAAGUGAGAGAAAUGUUGCAAUAAGGGUGGAUAAGAUUGGAUUUUAAGGAGAAAGAAUAUGAGGAAGAAAAUAAUCAUUAAAUAUAUUUUUGGAGGACAUUUCUGCAUGAUUAUAGCAGUUGAGGCUUUUGAAGGGAUAUAUUUGUAAUGGUAAAAUUAAUAUAUUACUUAUUUGCUGUAAAAAAAUAGAGAGUUCUGUAAUAGGAACAAACCAGAUGAAUAAAUAUAAAUAUCACUGGCUUUUGUAGGGAUAAAAAUUAGAAGUUGAAUUUUGUAGGAAUUUAUUUGAUAUUCAAUAUAUUUAGGGAGAGUUGUAUGCAAUUAACUAGAACAUUUUAUUGGAUAUAUAUAUAGAGAUUUAGCUUGGUAUACUAUCGGUAGUACGGAGGCCUCCGUGCUACCAAAUUGUUUUCAAUAAUGCGGCUUCCAAAUUGACGAUCUCCUCCGUUAGACUUGAUCUACACUAUUGAAAGUAUUUGAAAGCUAAAUUUCAUAAUUUAUUGAUAUCAUUUAUCUAUCAAACUAGUAGUCUAAAAAUGAACGGCUGAAAAUAAAAAUCUCAAAAAAACAUGAUAAUAAAAGACUUGAAUUUAAGAUCAGAAGUACUGAUCUUACUCUAAAUAGUGAAAAGAAUUUUCUAUAAAAAUUUUAUCAGAUUUGGAUUGUUUUAUACCGUUAAAUUCACAAACGCAUCACAUCUAUCAUUAAAAUUGUCAAUUUUGAAACUUUUUUAUAACUAGUCAAAUGAUGUCGAAAAAUUAUGAAAUUUAGUUUUCAAAUGCUUUUAAUAAUAUAGAUCAAGUCUAACGUCGAUUUGGAAGUUGCAUCACUGAAAGCAACUUGGUAGCACGGAGGCCUCCGUGCUACCGAUAGUAUAUCAGCCUAGCUCAUAUAUAUAUAUAUAUAUAUAUAUAUAUAGAGAGAGAGAGAGAGAGAGAGAGAGAGAGAGAGAGAGAGAGAGAGAGAGAGAGAGAGAGAGUCUGGCUACCAUACUCUUAUGAGUACGAUCGCCUUUAAAACUUAAAGAAAUCAAAUUUUAUAAUUUUCGAUAUCAUUUACUUUACGAUCAAAAACUCACAAAAUUGACAAUUUUUAACGGCCAGUAUGGGAUAUUUACUAGUUUAACGGUAUAAAAGAAUCGAAAUAGAUUGAUUUUUUGAUAGAAAAUUCUAUUCACUACCUAAAUAAAGAUCAAUAACUCCGAUCUUAAAUUGAAGGAUCCGAUCAUCUAUUUUUAAAAUAUCGUUUGAUUUUGACCGUUCAUUUUAUACCCGCUUGAUGGACUUUAUAAUGAUUUAAAAAAAUUACAAAAUUUAUUUUCUAGAAGUUUCAAAUAGUCUAGAUCAUGUUUAACGGUGUGGAUCGUCGAUUCGAAAACCCCAAUAUCCAAAACAACUUAUGAGUACGAAGAACUUUAUACUCAUAAAAGUAUAGUAGCCCUACUCUAUAUAUAGAUCUGGCAAUCUCGACCCAUACCCGCGGAUGUCCGCGGAUUACCUGCAAUUUUGCGGGUAUGGGUACCAACUUUUUCAACCCAAAAAAUUACGGGUAAAACGGGUGGGUACCCUUUAAGCUGUGCGCAUUUUGGAUAACCCGCGGGUACCCACGGGUACCCGCACAUAUAUUUUUUAAUUACAAAAUAUAUUUUCUUAAUUAAAAUAUAUAUAUUUUUAUGGGUUAUUUGCAUACACGUCCUUGCAAACAUAGUGAAUUGCGGAAAUAUCCCUGCAAAACGAAAACUCCAUAAGUUGUCCCUGCAAAAGUCCUAAUUUAUACAGAUAUGUCCCUUUGAUUAACAUAUGUUAGAGAACUGUUUAUUUUUUAACAGUUUUCUUGUGAAAUGACCAUUUUGCCCUCAUAAAUAUAUCCCUCCAAAAGUAUCAUCUUCCCCUUCUCUUUCUCUUCCUCUUCCUCUUCGAGCCGCCGGAACGGAUGGCGGCGACGGCGCGGGUCGAGCUCGCCGGCGACGAAGAAGAGGAAAGAGAAAGAAUGAGAGGAAGAAAAAAAGGGAAGAGGAAGAAGGAGAGGAAGAGGGAAAGGAAGAGGGAAGAGAAAGAUGAAGAGGGAAAGGGUUCGUCGCCGCGCGCCGCCGCCGCAUCCCCUCGCUCGCUGGCGACGAAGAAGAGGGAAGAGGAAGAGGAAGAGGAAAAGAAAGAGGGAGAGAAAGAAGAAGAUGGAGAGAGAGAGGGUUCGCCGCUGCCGUCGCAUCUUCUCCCUCGCCGGCGAUGAAGAAGAGGGAAGAGGAAGAAGAAGGGAGAAAAGGGAAGAGGGAGAGGAAGAUCAAGGAGGAAAAGAAAGAGAGAGGGUUCGCCGUCGCUGCCGCCGCCGCCCUCGCCGGCGACGAAGAAGAGGGAAAAAGAAGAGGAGGAAGAAGAAGAAGGGUAGAACCAUAAAUUCAAGUUAUAAUUAACCAUGGUUAAGUAUUUUAACCGUGGUUAACGAAAAUUUUCUAACAGUCCUUAACGGCAGGGACAUAUCUGCAUAACUUUAGACUUUUAUAGGGAUAACUUAUGCAGUUUCCGUUUUGUAGGGAUAUUUCUGCAAUUCACUAUGUUUGCAGGAACGUGUAUGCAAAUAAUCCUAUUUUUAUUUACUCAUCCUAUAAAUUCUAACUCUAAUUUUUUAUCACGUCUGCUACCUAUCUCUCAAAAAAAAAAAGAAGAAAAAAUUUAUUAUGUCUUUUAUAUUACGAAAUUUUUAAGCUCUAAGAUUUUCAAUAUUUUUAUUGUAUAUUAUGAUAUUUUAAAUUAGGAGUUAUUCUAUAUUUUUAAAACUUAUAUAUAUAUAUUUUGCAUUUAAAAAAUAUUAGAGAAAAAAAGAAACAAAAUUGCGGAUAACCUGCAUACCCACCCGCCCACCCGCGGGUGGAUAUGGGUAAUGAUGUUGGCUACCCAAAAAUUUAUGGGUAAAUUUUACCCAUGCCCAAGUUACCCGUAGGUACAAUAACCCGCCCGCGGGUUACCCAAACCGCCUGUUUGCCAGGUAUAUAUAUAUAUAUAUAUAUAUAUAUAUAUAUAUAUAUCUAUAUAUAUAAUUGCAUGCUAUGAACACACAACAUCAUCAUCUCCUAUAUCAUCCUUUUAUUUCUUUUCCUGCUUUUUCCUCUUAACUUUGCUUCAUACAUAUUGCAUUGUUUUCUCCUUUUGUUUUUCUUGAUAAUUUAUUCAUGGCUUGGUUUUAUUUAUUUUUUGAACUUUUUUGUUGUGGCACACUAAUUAAAGGCUUAGUUGGACAUGGGCUUUUGCCUGAAAGUGUUUUCUCAAAUUUUGUUUAAUUAAUUAAUUUGGGUAUGUAGUCUAGUUUUCAUCUUGUUAGCAAAAUUUGCCAUGUUAAUUAACCUUCAAAAGUUUCCCUUAGUUGAGAUGAAUCUCUUGGCAGUUUCAGUUGAGUGCAAUCUUAAUUGAAUAAUCCUUUGUAUUUUGUUCACUAUUAGCUAUUUGCUUUGUGCUAAGAGCCUUUUUUUGUUUUUUUGCUCAUUCUUGUUCAUUUUGAUGUUAGCCUACAAUUAAUCUCAUCUGUUUUCAACUUGAACAAGCUAGUGCUAAAGCCUAAAGACAAAGCCUCAAUGUUAGUAGUUAGUUUUAUCUUUUGAAACACAAUUUGAUAAUCUAAAUCCAAGUAAAGUUUCAAUCAUUCGAGUUCUUAGAAGUAGGUAAACAAUUUAGCAUAUUAUUUGAAAAGCAUCUAUUUUCCAUCAUUCUAGGCCUUAUUUCCCUUCUUUCUCUCACUUGUUCAUGUAUAGAAAAUUUUAGAAAAAAAGGAAGGCCNGUCAAAUUUGUGACCUCUUGAUCGUAAGGUAAAUGAUGUCGAAAAAUUAUAAAAUUUGAUUUCUAGAAGUUUUAAAUACUGUAAAUAACGUUUAACGGUAUGGAUUGUCGAUUCGGAAGCUCUAUCAUCGAAAACGAUUUAUGAGUACGAGAGCGAUCGUACUCAUAAUAGUAUAGUAGCCGGACCCUAUAUAUAUAUAUAUAUAUAUAUAUAUAUAUAUAUAUAUACUUGAAUAGCAUAAAAUAAUUAAUAAAUGUGCCAACCAAUUGGAUGCAUACAACUAGAUCUGGCAAUCUCGACCCAUACCCGCGGGUGCCGGCAGGUUAUCCGCAAAUUUGCGGAUAUGGGUACCAACUUUUUAAGCCCAAAAAAUUACGGGUAAAAUGGGUGGGUACCCUCAUUAAGCUGUGGGUAUUUUGGGUAACCCGCGGGUACCCACGGGUACCCGCACAUAUAUUUUUUAACUACAAAAUAUAUUUUCUUAAUUAAAAAAUAUAUAUAUUUAUUUAACUAUCCUAAAAAUUCUAACUAUAAUUUCUUAUAGCGUCUUUUAUAUUACGAAAUUUUAAAGUUCUAAGUCUUUAAAUAUUUUUAUUAUAUGUUAUGAUAUUUUAAAUAAUGAGUUAUGUCAUAUUUUUAAAACUUAUAUAUAUGUAUUUUGCAUUUAAAAAAUAUAAGAAAAAAAGAAAAAAAAUUGCGAGUAACCCGCAUAUCCACCCACCCACCCGCGGGUGGGUAUGGGUAAUGAUGUUGGUUACCCAAAAAUUUGCGGAUAAAUUUUACCCAUGCCCAAGUAACCCGCGGAUACAAUGACCCGCCCGUGGGUUACCCAACCCGCCCGUUUAUCAGGUCUACAUACAACUGCCUAAUAUAUUCUGUCUCUAAAUUAAUUUUUAUUAUUUUUAAAUUAAGGUAAAUUAUUUAUUGAAUGUAUUAUCCUCAACACAUUUUGAGAUGAAAUAUUGUAUAGCAUUUUUCUUAAAUAUUUUAGGCAAUAAUACCUAAAAAUAGCUUUGAGGGGAUUUGCAUGCAACAAGUCAUUAAUUUAGACCAACCAACGAACCCGAUAAUACCCACAACCAAUCUCACCCAUUAAUGCCCAAUAAUAACAAAUAAUAAUAAGCCAUAAAUAAGUAAUAAUAACAUUAUGCUUUAAUAAGCGUGAGAAGUUAUUACUCAACUAAUUAAAUCCGAGCCGAGCCAUUAGCCGAGUCGCGGCCCGGAUCGGCUCGCGCGUGGACGGAAUAUUCCUCGGGAUCUUCCCUGACGCCGUUAGCGAUCGCGCCGUUAAGUGCUUAGCUGGAGCGGCGUCGGGCGCCUAGGGUUCCCUGAAUGGGCCAGCUGGCACCGCCGCACGGCACAUGGCCAGCUGCCCCCUGUCCCGUUGGCUUGUAAAUUUACUAAAAUACCCCUUAAGUUUUAUUUUUUGUUUUUAAAAUUUUAUAUCAAAUUAAUUGCUAUUCUGUCCAUAUCUGUUCGUAGUUCAUCCGAUAAUAAUUAUAAAUACAGUAUAAUUAAAAUGUAUAUAGUUAUAAUCAUCUAUAUUUAUGCUUUAGUAAAAAAAAAUACUAUUGCUAUAAAUAAUUUAGUUGAUAAAAUACGAAUUAUAUUCAUAAAUUUUAUUAUUUUAGGAUUAUAUAAUGAUGAGAUUAUUUGCAAUAUAGAAUAGAAUAAUAUUUUUAAAUAAAAUUAUAUUUUAUUUAAAAUUAGUUUUUUGAUUUGUAUGGUUUGAAAUUGUAAUCAAUUUGAACAUAAUUCAAUUACUAUAAUUAAAUUUUCUUGUACAGUUUAAACUGUAGUUUGGUAUUACAAGUGAAGGGUAUUCUGGUCAUUACAUGCUGUACUUAAAUCUUUCCUUGGCUUCUGGCUCGCGUGAGCAGAGAAAUCGCGAGUGCGACAUCCAACCAUAAAACAUUACGUAGUAAUUUGCAAUAGAUUUUUGUCAAAAAAAAAAAAAGAAAAAAGUGGGGGACAUAGAAAAAUAAAAUUUUUUUAAAAAAUGAAAAUAAAUGUAGAAGUAUGUAAGAAAAAUAUUUUAAAAAAUCAUGUACAAGUGCAAAAUCUAUGAUUUAAAUGUUAAAUAACCUUGAAAAUGUAUGGUAUGAAAAAGUUAUGCAAUUUAUAAAAAAUAGUAAUCAAGAUUUCUAUAUUUUAUAUAAAGAGUAAUUCUGGAUGAAAAAUGUAGGUAACAUAGCAGCACUGUAUACUAUUCUGAAACAAUUAUUUAGUUUUUUAAAAUUUUAAUUUUACUAUACAACGUUUCAAUUUGUUUGAUUCGAGACAGUUGCCGACGCUUUGGCUUCGAAAUUUAAGCUUAUUUCUUACUUUAACGAAUUAUAGUUGCGAAGAUUGCAUCAUGGGAUAUACACUGAUUAAACUUGUAAAGAUUAACGGCAAGGCAAAAUAUCGUUAACUGAAUCAAAUUAAAUAAAUUAAAGUAUUAGAUAGUAAAAUUAAAAUUUUGAGAUGUAGGAUAGUAAAUUCGAAAGGGUUACCUAUGUUUAAAUGUGUGGCGUACGAUGGACCGGGUGCACGCAACCAUUUCUUUUGGCGAUUCGAUAACCGUAGGUGAUCGGAUCAUCGGAUGCGCCAUUGUGUGUAUGCGAAGACAGAGAGACUACAACUACUACUACAACAGAGCCAGAGCGAGAGAUAGAGAGAGAGAGAGAGAGUGUGAGAGAGAGAGAGAAGGAAGGGCAAAGGAGACAAAAGCCUCCCCUUUUAUUUGUUUCCUACUACUCUCCAUCUCCAUCUCCAUCUCCAUUGCCAUCCUCAAUCUCUCUCCCGCAUUCAUUCCUUUGUUCGUCAUUUGCAAACCACGAGAAUCACCACCGCUGUGUCUUCUCUAGUUCUAUGUCGUCUUCGUCAUCCUCCUGUCGCCACAAUCGUCCCAAAAAGCUCGCAUCUUGGCCACUUUUCACCAUUACCUGUAGCCACUACAUCUAGCUACAGGGGUGGGAUCGAGAUCGGGGGCGGUGGGGGUUUGGAGAUCGAUCUACGCGCGGAAUCCACGAGGGCGAUUCGAUUCGGGGAGGAGGGGGAGGAGGAGG
rnacentral:lncRNA from 1 species